AAAAAAAAAAAACAGUAAUCACACAUAGCAUACAUCUAGCUAUGCAAUUUCGGUUGCAAAUUGCCAUAUAAUUUUUAUAAUAUUUUUUUUUUCCGUUUUGUUUUUGUUUUUGUUGGUCUUGCCCCUGCAAUAAAACAUUGAAUUGAUGUAUGUGUGUGUGUGUGCAUGUGUGAAGAGUGCGCGUGUUUUUUACUUGGCAGAAGCGCGGGAAUUUUGAAGCGUUAAAUGUUUGUGAAACCUCGCCAAACGCAACUUUUUUCAAAUAAGCGCGCACAAAUACAAGCACACGAGGAACGAUUCGAAUCGCCUGUUGAUUGAAAUGCAACACGCGCAACGCAAUAACAAUACCAACAAC
rnacentral:sRNA from 1 species